rnacentral:rRNA from 1 species
GAUAGUAGGUUAUAGGGAUGAGAUAUUAUUCAAGUUGUUUUGUAUCUAGUUCUCUAAAAGAUUUAAUUGGUUGUAGGUUUAUUAGGUCAAUAAGUAGGGAUUAGCUUGUUUAUUGUUUAUAUGCAUUUAUGGGGUAGACUUGUUUGUGAAGUUGAUAGUGCUUAUUUUUAAGGAGUUAUUAUAGAACACGGGCUUUAUAUUAUUAUUUUGAGGUUAUAUGAUUAUUGGGGUGGGUUAGUUAAUUUUUUCUUUUGUGAAAUAAUGAUUUUAUUAGUAAUAUUUUAUUUAGUUUAAGAGAGUGUGUUUGAAGAAAAUUGAUAGUAAUUAAGUUAGUUUUUAAUUAAGGUAGACGAAUUCGGCAAAGUUAAUUUUUGACUGUUUAGCAAAAACAUUGUUUUUUGUGAGGAUAAAAAAUAAGUUCUGUCCACUGCUAUUAGGUAAAGGGCUGCAGUAUUUUGACUGUAUGAAGGUAGCAUAAUCAUUAGCUUUUUAAUUGGGGGCUGGUAUGAAGGUGAAACAGGGAUUGUCUGUGUUUGCUUUACUUGAUGAAUUUUAUUUCUGUGUGAAAAAUCAUAGUUGAAUUAGAGGGACAAGAAGACCCUAAUAAGUUUUAUUCUUUUCCUUGAUGAUAAUAUAGGUGAAUAUUUAUUUGAUUAGAGUGUAGGAGUUUAGCUGGGGCGGCUAUUUAUUUAACAUAAGUAAUUUUUUAACUUUCUUUGGCGG